UUAGCAAUCUGGAGAGGACUGAGGCAAGAGCUUGUACUGAAACACAAGCAAGCUCCACGUAUGGUUUUGGACAUGGAAGAAAGAGUACUGUUGGGGUGGAAUGACCUAAGUUUUUAAUAGGAUUAGGAUUUCUGUGGAUUUUUCCCAAGUGAUAGAAGUUUUCUUCAUCUAGCAGGGAGCCUCACCCAAUUGCUUCUCUAUGUUCAUUUCUGAAACUCCUUUGUUAAAACUAAAUAGCAACAGAGAAGAAACUUUCUUCAAAAAACUCUUCAUAUCUGUCAUUUCUCCUGUUCUCAUGGAACUUCACAAUUGCUUUUUCUUUAUUCCUUUUUUUUUUUUCUAUAUCAGCUCAUCAGUCUUUGUGGGUGACUUGGCUACCCCACUAAUCUAAUUGCCUUUUUGAUAGUUAAAUCAAUAUGGACAUCAACUUAAGGCUAUAUGUGAACCUUAAAUGCAUGAUAUUCCCUAUACUUGAUUCCACAAUUGAUAUUCUGUGAGGAAAGUUGGCCAGAUAUUCCCUUCUGUGAAGUCAGAAUAACUACAGACCCUAAGAAUAAACAUUUUGACCAAUUCUUUAUAUGUUGCAAACUAUUCACACAACUAGAAAGUUUAGCCAUUCACAUCUCUUCCCCUGAUUUUAAGUCCCAGAUUCUGAGACUCAGAAAGUUUAGUGACUUGUUGAGCCUUCUGUGGAAAAUCUGUUGUAAAAACAGUUCAGACAUUGGAAAAUAUAAAAUAGCCCUUAGAGAUCCCAAUAAAGCUUCCUCUCCCCAAAUCCCUCUACAAGUUUAUCCUCGAAAAACUUUCUGAAAACUGAUGAGAAAAUACUGAGUAAUUAAUGCUCAAAUGGGAAAGAUGAUAUGUAAAAGCAAAAACCUGUUAAUGGCAUCUGUUCAUAUAGUUCCAUGUGCCUUUUUACUUAACUGCACUGAUAGGCAAUGUAAUGAAGAAGUUUCCUUUUAAAACGUAAAAUGUAAUUAAGCAGAGUUUAUCUUAAAUUGGCUGGACCCGCACAGCUUGACUGAGACAUACACAGCUGUCUUCAUUUUGAAGCACCUACACUAGUCAAGCUUCUUUCUAACCCGCCCUUAGGGUUUGCCUGUUGGUCUGUCUUCCCUACUGGGCUGUUAAUCCCUUGGAGGCAGAUUGUCUUGUUUCCCAGAGUUUUUCCAGCAUAUACCAUGGCAGACAAUCUUCUCCUUAUCUAUUCUAACUCGUAAGCCUCAGCUAGUGCCUCCAUCCUCGGGUGCAUAGCCUAGUGACAGGCAUGUAACAGACUUUGCCUACAAGCAGUUGCUGAUCCAUAAAUGACGUUGGCAACCUUCUUGUGGCAGUGAGUAACAUAUUUCUUUCCUCCUGAUAGGCUUGGAAUCCUCAUCCCCAUCUGGCAAUUUUCUUUCCAUCUUUCCUACACUCACAAUGGAGCCCACACGCCUCACAACCCCCUUGACUAAACCAGAUGACAGCAAGAAUGCCUAGUUCCAAGUGAGCAAGGGUGAAGCCUUAGGCCCUUGUCUCCUCCAGACCUCCUCUCUGCUCUAAGAGUAUACUGGGCAUGGGGUGUGGUCGGGGGUGGGGGGCGGAGGAGUACUUAACCUCAAACUGAGAAAAAGGGUGUCCUGAGCAAGUUUCAUAGCGUAGCAGCUUCCAUUUGAAAUGUGAAGCUUUGAAGGCCUGUUGCUACAGUAACCAGCUAGCUCCUGACUCCAAUGCCUGUCUAAUCUAAGGUGGAAAUGUCCCAGAAACAGACCCCAGGCUGGCAGCUCUUAACUAUGACCCAUCUCAUAAGCACAUAUCCAGCUGUAGCCUCUUGGUUGCUGGGGUGAAGGGGCCUCUGUAUCGCCACAGGAAAAAAAAUCUGAUAAAUUACGGGCUCAAGAAGGGUGUUGCUUUUUUUUCCACUAACAGACUUUGCAACCCAGUUCCUGGUGAAAGGGCUCCGCACCCACCCGUUUUGUGUGUAUAAUGCUGAGCUAAAGUGGAAAGGAGCAGUAACACCAAAGGAGGCUAAUUCUCUUCCUGUCAGUAGGAGAGAGUCUCUGCCCCCAGUGUGUGAAAAGGGAAGGCAUGAGAAGUGAAAAAUCAGCCUUCUGGAAGCACCUUCUUACCACGAGAAAACAGGUGAUUCUUACUAUCUUUGAGACUCAUCCAGAUUGUGUCUGUUUAACUCUUCAGGCAAUAUGAAGGCAGAGAUGGAGCCAUUUCAGAGAAGAGAUUUUUUAAAAAAUCAUUUCGUUCUUUGGAAUUGUCACAGGAUUAUGAUGUGGGUUCUCAUAAAAAUUUCACUCCCCCCAAACCCACCCAAAGGAAAGGCAGUGAAAUGGGGAGGAACACACAUUUGCCUGGCGUCGGAAGAGCUGCCUUGUAGUCGUGGGUUCCAGUGAUCUUGGACCAAUCUCUUCACUUCCCUGGACCUCAGUUUCUUCCAUACAAAGAAGUUGAACUGGAUCAUAGAAAAGAUGCUGUCCAGCUUGGUAAUAUCAGAUAGGGAGCAGAAGCUGUCUCUUAGCACAUGGCCAGAUUCCGGAACAACGAUGAUGGUCUCCAUGUUUGUCCUAAAAAUGCAUCUCAUCUCAGUAGAGAUUGUCUUCCACCUCAUUUGGGUCUCAAUUUAAGGAAGGAAGAAAGGAAAGAAACCCGGGGAUUCUCUUCUUGAAAGGAAUAUACUUCACUUUCUCUAGGCUUCUAGGAUAAAAACUUCCUAUCCUUCAUUUUUCCUCUUUAAACCUGCCAAAAUCAAGUUGAGUAAAGAUACCAUACAGAUAUGAAAAAGAAGCCACAUCCUUAAAUUUUCAUGGAGUCCAAGAGCAUGCUCACCGCCAGUUAGCUUUUCCCAGGAUGGUGGUGGCACUGAUCAUCUAGGUCGCACUUUUAUGUUCAUGUCCCAGAGCGUUUCCCAUCAGCCAUCUCAUUUCAUCUUUUCAUCAUUCCUCUGAGGAACAGACUUCACACAUGUAUAGGACUUUCUAUAUCACAAAGUAUUUCAUAUCCAAUGUCUUAUUUAGAUCUUGACAAUCACUGUUUAAGGUAAUUUGGCAAGUUAUUAAUACUCAUGUUCUCAUUUUACUGAAGAGGAAACUGAAAUGCAGAGAGCUUGUCUUUUGCCCAGGAUCACUCACCCAGUUUAUUGGGAGGCAGCAGCACGGGGAUUAAGAACGUGGGCUAUGCCGACAACCAACCAGGUAGAAUUCCAGCUCUGUCAGUAGUUAGCUGUCUGGCCUUAGGAAAGGGAUUUCACACCUCUGUGGCUUAGUUUCCUUGUCCAUUAAAUGCUCGUAAGAAUAGAGCUUUCCUCACAGAGAUUGGGUGGGCACGGGAGCUAAAUGAGCUCAUACGUUUAAGAACAACCUCUAGCACACAGUGCAUAAUAAAUGUCAUUAUUAUUAGCAAAGCCAGGACCUGGGUCUUCCAGCUUCUAGCUCAGUGGCAUUUCUGCUGCCCUACACCAGGACGAUCCUUCGUGUACAGGUGUGAACCUAAAGCCUUCAGUGUUUCAAUGAGAAGUUCCCCCAAGGUCUUUCUGUUCAGUAGGUCUAGAGCUAAGGGCCCCUGGCACUCUGUUCAGUCCUUUCGCUGGUAAACCACGCUGCCCUCCGUCGCUCUGGGCAGAAUGUCAAACCUUCUUAUGUUUUUAAAAUUUAUAAAUCCAGCACUCUUAUUUAAUAUUACUGACAGCCCGAAGGCAGACGCUCCCGCUCUCCUGGGGAAGAGGGUCUUCUAAUCUGCCAUCUUAAGGAGGUAAAAGGGCUUGACUGGGUAACUCAUUGCAAUGGGCACGUAUUUAUUACUGUCUCCCGGCCUUUUCUCAUGCUGUUUGUACGCUGGAAUUACCACUAGUGCCAGGCCAUUUGAAUAUUUGACCAUUUGUCUUAGAGUUCUCUGAAUACAAAUGUUGUUUUUCAUACCUUUAUUAUGUACUGUUUUAAGAAUGAAGACUAUGUUGCAUGUUGGUUUGUACUCUCUCCUGCACAUAAAAAAUGCUUAGUAAAUAGAUACACAAA
rnacentral:lncRNA from 1 species